GCGAGUGAAGCGGCAACAGCUCAAAUUUGAAAUCUGGCGCAAGCCCGAGUUGUAAUUUGUAGAGGAUGCUUCUGGGUAGCGACCGAUCUAAGUUCCUUGGAACAGGACGUCAUAGAGGGUGAGAAUCCCGUAUGUGACCGGCCCGCACCCUCCACGUAGCUCCUUCGACGAGUCGAGUUGUUUGGGAAUGCAGCUCUAAAUGGGAGGUAAAUUUCUUCUAAAGCUAAAUACCGGCCAGAGACCGAUAGCGCACAAGUAGAGUGAUCGAAAGAUGAAAAGUACUUUGGAAAGAGAGUUAAAAAGCACGUGAAAUUGUUGAAAGGGAAGCGCCUGCAACCAGACUUCGCGGCAGUGUUCCGCCGGUCUUCUGACCGGUUCACUCUCUGUCGCGAGGCCAUCAUCGUCUGGGCCCGCCGGAUAAGACCGGAGGAAUGUAGCUCACCUUCGGGGGAGUGUUAUAGCCUCUGGUGAUGCGGCGAGGCUCGGGCGAGGUCCGCGCUUCGGCAAGGAUGAUGGCGUAAUGGUUGUCGGCGGCCCGUCUUGAAACACGGACCAAGGAGUCUAACAUCUAUGCGAGUGUUCGGGUGUCAAACCCCUACGCGUAAUGAAAGUGAACGGAGGUGGGAACCGCAAGGUGCACCAUCGACCGAUCCUGAUGUCCUCGGAUGGAUUUGAGUAAGAGCAUAGCUGUUGGGACCCGAAAGAUGGUGAACUAUGCCUGAAUAGGGUGAAGCCAGAGGAAACUCUGGUGGAGGCUCGCAGCGGUUCUGACGUGCAAAUCGAUCGUCAAAU
rnacentral:rRNA from 1 species